rnacentral:lncRNA from 1 species
AUGGCGCAUGCUUACUUCCCAAAGCUAAGGAGGGCUCUGUGCAGGCGGGCAGCCCACCCUAAGGGAAGAAUCAUGGGAAAGAGAUGGGGAACUGCGACAUGAAGAAGUUAACUUACCUAAGAUCAGAGAAUGAGUCAAGGACAGAACAGGACCAUGUCAUCAAAUUUAGAGAAACUUGAACUAUGCAGAAAAGAGAUGGGAUUCUUCUGUGGCUGUGCUGCUCACUCAAGGGAGUCUGAACCAUUUUGACCAGGAAAAGCCAAAAGGAAAGGCCUCUGCCAAGGGCAGACCACACAUUGCCCGAAGUCAUUGUUCUCCAUUCCAGCCCCAAGAACUCUGCGAGAUCAAUGAAAGCAUACAUUGAGAAAUAAAAGUCAUGAGAAAAUUUUACAAAUUA